CCUACGGGUGGCCGCAGUGGGGAAUAUUGCACAAUGGGGGAAACCCUGAUGCAGCGACGCCGCGUGAAGGAAGAAGUAUUUCGGUAUGUAAACUUCUAUCAGCAGUGAAGAAAAUGACGGUACCUGACUAAGAAGCCCCGGCUACCUACGUGCCAGCAGCCGCGGUAAUACGUAGGGGGCAAGCGUUAUCCGGAUGUAUUGGGUUUAAAGGGUGCGCAGGCGGAGGUGCAAGUCAGCGGUCAAAUUGCGGGGCUCAACCCCGUACUGCCGUUGAACCUGCAUCCCUUGAGUGCGCGAGAAGUAUGCGGAAUGCGUGGUGUAGCGGUGAAAUGCAUAGAUAUCACGCAGAACUCCGAUUGCGAAGGCAGCAUACCGGCGCGCAACUGACGCUCAUGCACGAAAGCGUGGGUAUCGAACAGGAGUAGAUACCCCAGUAGUC
rnacentral:rRNA from 1 species